GAUGAACGCUAGCGGCAGGCCUAACACAUGCAAGUCGAGGGGUAGCAGGAUUAAGCUUGCUUAAUUGCUGACGACCGGCGCACGGGUGCGUAACGCGUAUGCAACCUACCUUAUACUGGGGUAUAGCCCGGAGAAAUUCGGAUUAAUCCCCCAUAGUACUAAUGAAUCGCAUGGUUUAUUAGUUAAAGCAUUGCGGUAUAAGAUGGGCAUGCGUCCUAUUAGCUAGAUGGUGAGGUAACGGCUCACCAUGGCUACGAUAGGUAGGGGGCCUGAGAGGGCGGUCCCCCGCACUGGUACUGAGACACGGACCAGACUCCUACGGGAGGCAGCAGUGAGGAAUAUUGGUCAAUGGGCGCAAGCCUGAACCAGCCAUGCCGCGUGCAGGAAGAAUGCCCUAUGGGUUGUAAACUGCUUUUAUUUGGGAAUAAACCUCUUUACGUGUAGAGAGCUGAAGGUACCAAAUGAAUAAGCACCGGCUAACUCCGUGCCAGCCGCCGCGGUAA
rnacentral:rRNA from 1 species